GUGCCAGCAGCCGCGGUAAUACAGAGGUCUCGAGCGUUGUUCGGAUUUAUUGGGCGUAAAGGGUGCGUAGGCGGUGUGGUUAGUCAAAUGUGAAAUCUCGGAGCUCAACUUUGAAACUGCACUUGAUACUGCCAUGCUAGAGGGUUGUAGAGGAGACCGGAAUUCACGGUGUAGCAGUGAAAUGCGUAGAUAUCGUGAGGAAGACCAGUUGCGAAAGCGGGUCUCUGGGCAAUUCCUGACGCUGAGGCACGAAGGCUAGGGGAGCAAACGGGAUUAGAUACCCCGGUAGUCCUAGCAGUAAACGGUGCACGUUUGGUAUAGGCAGAUUCGACCCUGCCUGUGCCGGAGCUAACGCGUUAAACGUGCCGCCUGAGGAGUACGGCCGCAAGGCUAAAACUCAAAGAAAUUGACGGGGGCCCGCACAAGCGGUGGAGUAUGUGGCUUAAUUCGAUGCAACGCGAAGAACCUUACCUGGCCUUGACAUGUAACGUGAUAGCCGAUGAAAGUCGGUGACGGUCCGAGAGGAUGCUGGGGUUACACAGGUGCUGCAUGGCUGUCGUCAGCUCGUGUCGUGAGAUGUUGGGUUAAGUCCCGCAACGAGCGCAACCCCUGUGAGCUGUUACUCCCUUUGCGGGGAGUUCUCUGCUCAGACUGCCCUGUGAAACGGGGAGGAAGGUGGGGAUGACGUCAAGUCAGCAUGGCCCUUACGGCCAGGGCUGCACACGUACUACAAUGCGCACUACAGAAUGAUCCGAGAUCGUGAGAUGGAGGAAAUCCCUAAAAGUGCGCCCAGUUCGGAUUGUAGGCUGCAACUCGCCUACAUGAAGCCGGAAUCGCUAGUAAUGGCGUAUCAGCUACGGCGCCGUGAAUACGUUCCCGGGCCUUGUACACACCGCCCGUCGCAUCAUGGAAGUCGUUUGUACCCGAAGUGUAUGAGCUAA
rnacentral:rRNA from 1 species